rnacentral:rRNA from 1 species
AUACGUAGGGUGCGAGCGUUAAUCGGAAUUACUGGGCGUAAAGCGUGCGCAGGCGGUUUUGUAAGACAGCUGUGAAAUCCCCGGGCUUAACCUGGGAACUGCGGUUGUGACUGCAAGACUGGAGUGUGGCAGAGGGGGUGGAAUUCCACGUGUAGCAGUGAAAUGCGUAGAGAUGUGGAGGAACACCGAUGGCGAAGGCAGCCCCCUGGGUCAACACUGACGCUCAUGCACGAAAGCGUGGGGAGC